rnacentral:rRNA from 1 species
CAGUAGCCGCGGUAAUACGGAGGGAGCUAGCGUUGUUCGGAAUUACUGGGCGUAAAGCGCGCGUAGGCGGUUACUCAAGUCAGAGGUGAAAGCCCGGGGCUCAACCCCGGAACUGCCUUUGAAACUAGGUGACUAGAAUCUUGGAGAGGUCAGUGGAAUUCCGAGUGUAGAGGUGAAAUUCGUAGAUAUUCGCAGGAACACCAGUGGCGAAGGCGGCUAACUGGUCCAUAACUGACGCUGAGGUGCGAAAGCGUGGGGAGCAAACAGGAUUAGAUACCCCUGUAGUCCCUGUCUCUUAUAC